rnacentral:misc_RNA from 1 species
AAGUCGUAACAAGGUUUCCGUAGGUGAACCUGCGGAAGGAUCAUUAACAAAGUUUAUCCAACAACAUAUCCGUGUUCUGUCUGGCAUUAUUGUAUUCUCUGAUGAUUAUCAUUAAGAGAUGUGAUUUUGCCGAGUUUUUUUAUCAAUACACUAUCAUCCACUGAUGUGAUUCAUUACUACUACCUUAGAGUGGUAGUAAUUUUAACUAAAACAACUGUUAACAACGGAUCACUCGGUUCUCA